GCAGCAGCAAGCUGAUUACACAGGGAAAAGCUUCUAUCUAAAUACACAUAGCAUAACAAUCACCCCUGGAAAAACUACAUGGCUUACCAAAAGAGGUCUCUCUGUUCACUGUCCAUUAUCUGUUGACUGAACUAGUUCAAAUGAAUAACAAGUAAUGAUCAAAUUGCCAGUUUAUAUUUUACAACAGAGUCUUAUCUUUAAAAAAAUGCAAGGAGGAAAUACAAAAAUGUAAUACAUUUAUCUUGCUUUCUUUUCUAUUUCCUCCCCUGAAAUUAUUACUAUGCUAUUGGAAGCCAUACAAACACAUAUAUACACAAAUAUACAUAUGCUUCAAUGAAAAGCAGGCAUGCAGCUGACAGCUCGGCAACCCUGAGGACAGAAUUUUGAAGAGAGAAUACACUAAAAGGGAAGAACAUAACUACAUGACAUCAUAAGAAGUCCUGAAUUAGAAGCGUAUAUUUGAAAGGUCAUGCAUCCUGAGCUGCCAACAGCUUAACAACCAGAGGCAGAGGCCAGCUUUGCCAGCUCACUGCUUCUACUCAUCUUUCAUGAUAGUAGCCAGGCUGAAUAUAGUUCCAGGAUGAUAAUGAAUUGGCUGGGCAUACUGUUUAUAUUAGUAUGUAUGUUCCUGUACUAAACCAAGCAUCAUGAGGCCAGCACUAUUUUGCCAUUUUUCAGAAAAAAAAUAUGAACCCUUCAAAACAUAGUAAGCCUUUUUUAAAGUAUAUAUUUGAUUUUGAAAUAAUCAAAAUAUAUGUAGGGAUAUGACUGCAUCCUAAGAUUUAUGAUAAGUUCUGAUGAGUAAUAUUUUCUUUCUACAUGCAAGGCAAAGUUAAUAGUAACUAGAAAGUCUUUAUUUGGCAUAUCAUAGAUUUCUGUCAACCAAAACAACUAACUCUGGGGAACAUAACGUUCUGACAACUUCAGAAGAGUUAAGUCACAGACAAAAGUUUAUUGGAUCUUAGUUGGCUCCU
rnacentral:lncRNA from 1 species